rnacentral:lncRNA from 1 species
GAUGGGCGGAGAGUGGACUCGGCGCAGCUCCUGACAGAACUACAACUCCCGGCGUGCAUUGCGCCCCCCCCAAAAUUAAUGGGGGGGUAGGGGGAAAAUGGCAGCUGCUAAAGCGAGUCGGAGCGGUGGCUGAGCUUAUUUUGUUUUUGCAAAAUUGAAGACUGAUCCCUGAUUAACAAUGCCUGGCAAGAUCGCUUUGCAACUGGUUUUCCUCUCAGUCGAUUAACCUUCACGUGCAGCAUUGUUUGCUAUUGAUUUCUCAAUCAUGG